GAUCUUCCGGGACCCCAUACCAUGCAAAGAAGCGAUCCAUAUCUCUAACCCAUUGAUUGAAUGCACUAGGAUCUAGACAACCGUCAAACGUAGGGGCAUCCAAUUUAAUGUUUCGAAAGAGGCGCUUCUCGUGGCGAGGGGGAGAUUGUGUACCAUGACGGUUAUACCCCCGCUCUCGUUCCAGAGCCUGACUCCCUUCCCUACGGCCAUGUCGGGCGUGGUGUCGACCACCUUGUGGGCGACGAUGAGGCCUAUUAAUGGAAGCCUCAGAGUUCUCAGCCUCGGUCGAAUAUGGGAUUGGGUCAAGAGUAUUCAACCUGGCGGUUAGGGCUCUAUUCUCUUCACGAGUAGCGGCUACCUCAGUUUGGACAGCUGUUAGUUGAUUUUGUAAUUGUGCAAGCUGUCUGGUGAGGGCCUCAAUUUGGACGGGGUCCAUGGUAAGGUUACUAGAGUUAGAGGUAGUAACGCGACCACUACGCAAUUGCAUGCACGGUAACACGACUACGUAAAGUGCACUACUGAGAUCAAUAAUCAACAAUCAACUAAUGCCAACCGAAGAAUUAGUUAUUGAAAUUAUUAUUAUGAUUAUUUAUUUAUUUAUUUUUAUUAUUUUGUCAAUUUAAAGUUUGGGGUUACUUAUGGCUCGAUCGCAAGCUAAUACUACUAAUGCUAAUAAAAUAGAAAAGCAAAUGUCCAAAUACUAGGUCUAGUCACGUGGGGUAAACAAUUGAGUAAUGGAAUUUAGUUCGUGAAAUAUAAUCGAAUAGGUUUAAGGCAUUAUUAUUAAAGGGCUAGUACACAUCAAUGGAAUUUAGUUCGUGAAAUACAAUCAAAUAGGUUGAAGGCAAUAUUAUCAAAUGGCCAGCACACAACGAAUUAAUUGAUGCAAUUCUAAAAUAAAGAAAUAGCGUCAACUAAAAAUAAAUAGGAUCAGGAACUCCCUGAGUACUGUUGGUUUGAGUCGUCCCAGCGUCGAAUGUCUCCACGCUCUGA
rnacentral:lncRNA from 1 species